GGAGAGAUGGCUCAGCAGCUAAGAGCACUGACUGAUCUUCCAGAGGACCUGGGUUCAAUUCCCAGCACCCCCA
rfam:Mesocricetus auratus contig001925, whole genome shotgun sequence.